rfam:Plautia stali symbiont DNA, complete genome.
UCGAUGCGUUUCCAUUUGAGUAUCCUGAAAACGGGCUUUUCAGCAUGGUACGCAUUUAUUUAGGAGUGCAUAGUGGCCCGUAUAGCAGGCAUUAACAUUUCUGAU